UACGUAGGUGGCAAGCGUUGUCCGGAAUUAUUGGGCGUAAAGAGCAUGUAGGCGGGCUUUUAAGUCCGACGUGAAAAUGCGGGGCUUAACCCCGUAUGGCGUUGGAAACUGGGAGUCUUGAGUGCAGGAGAGGAAAGGGGAAUUCCCAGUGUAGCGGUGAAAUGCGUAGAUAUUGGGAGGAACACCAGUGGCGAAGGCGCCUUUCUGGACUGUGUCUGACGCUGAGAUGCGAAAGCCAGGGUAGCAAACGGG
rnacentral:rRNA from 1 species